rfam:Lasius niger Lnig_2.1_2349, whole genome shotgun sequence.
GUCAGGAUGGCCGAGCGGUCUAAGGCGCCAGACUCAAGGUUCACACCUUCUCAGUUCAAGACUGAGUUUUCCGAGCUUUCUGGUCCUCUCUGAGGGCGUGGGUUCGAAUCCCACUUCUGACA